GACGAACGCUGGCGGCGUGCUUAACACAUGCAAGUCGAACGAUGAUGCUGGAGCUUGCUCCAGUUGAUUAGUGGCGAACGGGUGAGUAACACGUGAGCAAUCUGCCCUUGACUCUGGGAUAACUGCGGGAAACUGUAGCUACUACCGGAUACUUUCACCGGAAGGCAUCUGCUGGUGAUGAAAGAAUUUCGAUCAGGGAGGAGCUCGCGGCCUAUCAGCUUGUUGGUGAGGUAACGGCCCCCCAAGGCGAGGACGGGUAACCGGCCUGAGAGGGUGACCGGUCACACUGGGACUGAGACACGGCCCAGGCUCCUACGGGAGGCAGGAGUGGGGAAUAUUGCACAAUGGGCGCAAGCCUGAUGCAGCAACGCCGCGUGAGGGAUGAAGGCCUUCGGGUUGUAAACCUCUUUUAGCAGGGAAGAAGCGAAAGUGACGGUACCUGCAGAAAAAGCACCGGCUAAUUACGUGCCAGCCGCCGCAGUAA
rnacentral:rRNA from 1 species